GUCCCGGUAGCUCAGUUGGUAGAGCACCUGUACGAAAGCAGCACCUGUACGAGCGAAAGCACCUAGCAAUAACUGCCAAGGGGUCGCAAGAUCGAAGCCUGCUCGGGAUU